AUGGGGUGCUGCUCACCAUUCAAACAGAGAGGAGUUGAAUUCUCUCCAGCUAUAAGGUGCAGUCACAUUUACCAGCAUUUUCAUGUGCCCGGCUUUCAGCUGUUUAGAGCACAUCACAACGCAGAAUCAACGGGGAAAUCGCGCUGCGGCAGGACAUGUUUUUACAUCAACGAAAGGUGGUGUACAGAUGUAACAAUGUUAAAGAAGAUGUGCUGUAAAACCGCAUUUUUCCAUCUCAAAAAUAUAUCUAAAUUACAGCCUAUGGUCUCAAUGUCAAACGCAGAAAUGUUAAUCCAUGGGUUUAUGACCUCAAGGUUAGAUUAGUGUAAUGCUUUAUUGGGUGGUUGUUCUGCACGCUUCAUAAACAAACUCCAGCUAGUCCAAAAUGCAGCAGCUAGAGUUCUUACUAGAACCAGGAAGUAUGACCAUAUUAGCCCGUUUCUGUCAACACUGCACUGGCUCCCUAUCAAACAUCAUAUAGAUUUUAAAAUCUUGUUUAUUACUUAUAAAGCCCUGAAUGGUUUAGCACCUCAGUAUUUGAACGAGCUCUUGUUACAUUAUAGUCCUCCAUGUCUGCUGUGUUCUCAAACUCUGGCAAUUUGAUAAUACCUAGAAUAUCAAAGUGAACUGUGGGUGCCAGAUUCUUUUCCUAUUUAGCGCCUAAACUCUGGAAUAACCUACCUAACAUUGUUCGGGAGGCAGACACACUCUUGUAGUUUAAAUCUAGAUUAAAGACCUAUCUCUUUAACCAGGCUUACACAUAACACACUAAUACGCUUCUAAUAUCCAAAUCCGUUAAAGGAUUUUUAGGCUGCAUUAAUUAGGUAAACCGGAAACCGGGAACACUUCCCAUAACACCUGAUGUACUUGCUACAUUGUUAUAAGAAUGGCAUCUACGCUAAUAUUAGUCUGUUUCUCUCUUAUUUCGAGGUCACCAUAGCCACCAGAUCCAGUACGUAUCCAGACCAGAUGGUGGAUCAGCACUUAGAAAGGACCUCUACAGCCCUGAAAGACAGUGGAGACCAGGACAACUAGAUGAGCCCCAGAGACAGAUCCCCUGUAAUGACCUUGUCUCAGACAACCACUGGGACAAGACCACAGGAACCAGUUGAGUCCUCUGCACAAUGUGACUUUGCUGCAGCUUGGAAUUGAACUGCUGGUUUCGUCUGGCCAGAUGAGAACUGGCCCCCUGAGCCUGGUUUCUCCCAAGGUUUUUUCUCCAUUCUGUCACCGAUGGAGUUUUGGUUCCUUGCCGCUGUCGCAUCUGGCUUGCUUAGUUGGGGAGACUUCAUUUACAGCGAUAUUGUUGACUUGAUUGCAAAUGAUUGCACAGAUACUAUUUAAACUGAAAUGAGAUUAAUGACAUCACUGAAUUCAAUGAUGAAUUGCCUUUAACCGUCAUUUUGCAUUAUUGAAACACUGUUUUCCUAAUUAAUGUUGUUCAGUUGCUUUGACACAAUCUUUUUGUUUAAAGUGCUAUAUAAAUAAAGGUGACUUGACUUGACUGUCCUGAUCUAGAAGCGCGCUUCAUUAACUCUAAGCCGUUCUAUUCGCCGCGGGAGUUUUGCUCGUUCAUUCCCGUGAGUGUUUACAUUCCUCCGCAAGCGCACAUGAGCUCAGCUUUACAGAAACUUUCUGACAGACAGGCAGCAGCUAGUGAGACUGGGAAAGUUCUCAUCCAGCACCCAUGUGAUCAGCAAUGGCGCUCCCCAGGGUUGCGUCCUUUCCCCACUGCUCUUCUCCCUCUACUCCAGUGACUGCACAUCUAUAGACCCC
ensembl:lncRNA